GUCUUUUUGAUUUUUAUAAAAGGUUUAACCUGCCCAAUGAAUAUUAAAUGGCUGCAGUAUUUUAACUGUACAAAGGUAGCAUAAUCAAUAGUUUUUUAAUUAAAAACUGGAAUGAAAGGUUGGACGAAAUAAUUACUGUCUCUUUAUAAAUUUUUUAGAAUUUUAUUUUUAAGUCAAAAAGCUUAAAUUAAUUUAAAAGACGAGAAGACCCUAUAGAGUUUUAUUUUUUUUUAAAAAGUAGAAUUAUUUAAAAUAAUUUAAUUAAUUUUUUAAAUAAAAUUUUAUUGGGGUGAUAAAAAAAUUUAAUAAACUUUUUUUAAAUAUAAACAUAAAUUAAUGAAUUAAUGAUCCAUAAAAAUGAUUAUAAGAGAAAAUUACCUUAGGGAUAACAGCGUAAUUUUUUUUAGAGCUCUAAUCAAAAAAAAAGUUUGCGACCUCGAUGUUGGAUUAAGAUUUAUAUUAGGUGUAGAUGCUUUAAUAUUAGGUCUGUUCGACCUUUAAAAUCUUACA
rnacentral:rRNA from 1 species